rnacentral:rRNA from 1 species
GGGCCCGCACAAGCGGUGGAUUAUGUGGAUUAAUUCGAUGCAACGCGAAAAACCUUACCAGGGUUUGACAUCCUGCGAAUCUCUUGGAAACGAGAGAGUGCCUUCGGGAGCGCAGUGACAGGUGGUGCAUGGCUGUCGUCAGCUCGUGUCGUGAGAUGUUGGGUUAAGUCCCGCAACGAGCGCAACCCACGUCUUUAGUUGCCAGCAUUUAGUUGGGCACUCUAGAGAGACCGCCGGUGAUAAACCGGAGGAAGGUGUGGAUGACGUCAAGUCAUCAUGCCCCUUACAUCCUGGGCUACACACGUACUACAAUGCUACGGACAAAGGGCAGCAAGUUCGCGAGGACAAGCAAAUCCCAUAAACCGUGGCUCAGUUCAGAUCGUAGGCUGCAACUCGCCUACGUGAAGGAGGAAUC